rnacentral:lncRNA from 1 species
UUGUAAUUUUAACAAUACUUUAAGUUUUAAAAUUAUCUUUUUAAAUAUUUAUUUAUUCAAUUUAAUUUUCUUUGUAAGAUAAUUACUGCAAAAAAUUUGUGGGAUCAUUAAAGAUUGAUGAUUGUUAAAUCCUUUUUAGGGCACAGGAAAGAAAUGAAAAUAAUAAAAUAAUUUUAAAAACUGUAUAACAAAUGACUAAAUAGUAAAUAGUCAAUAGAGAUAUUAUUUUUUUUUAAAAAUGUGAAUAUUAUACACAAUUUUCUACAUUUAGAGUGAUAUAUUGACAUUUACCCUAGCACGCUUUACCAUCGACUUAUUGAAAUGAAACCUUCAUGCUUUAAUUUAGGAAGUAUACGUGUCCAAUUUUGUGAGAAAAAUAUGCUUUAUUUUUUUUGUUUUUUAUAAGAGAACCUAAAAAUAAAACCUAGCAGUAUACUUGAUAAUUUUCCUCUGCAAGGAAAAUCAAUGUAAACAAAAAUGGGUUAGUAAAAAAAAAUUUUAGCCACCCAAAAACAUCCAUAUCAAUAUUAUGGUUACUUUUAUGAACUCUGGGUAUUGAUACAAAAAGAAUUAUAAUGAAGAUUUGAAGAAAUGUGUUAAAACAAAUUAUUGUACUUUUAAUUUAUCUUUGUUUUAUUUAAUUCGUAGAUUUGCGUAUUUGUGAAGUUCAAGCAGACUGCUUGCAAAUACAAUAAAUCAUUUAAGUAAUUGCAUAUUUGUGAGUUUUAUUAUUUAAGAUAUAUACCAACAUGUUUACUUACUUAACUACUUUCCUAACUUUCUAUUUAACGGCUUUAACUUGAGGAUGUAAAAGACACAACAUAAUAAUAUGUUGACAAAUUGUAAAGAAAAAAUGAAUACUACUUUUUUUUUUAAAAUACCAAAGGCAAAAAAAAGUUGAGAGCCACUGCUGUAUUCUCUUAAUUACAGAGGUGGUGUGUCAAUGGCUCAAUGAGGCAGGUGAUGAGAUCGUCAUUCUUCUAAUUAAUAUCAAAAAAGUUCAUUCGUUUUUAUCUAGCUAUUUACUAUUAAGAGGACCCUACCCAAGCACUUGUCUCCGUAUUACACAUAAAUAGGACAUUUUCAUUCACUAGUUUCAAUAUUAUGCUGUGAGUUUUGAUAUUAGAGUAAAUUGACCUAUUAUCAAACUUUUAGGUAAGAAAAUUAUCUGUGCUACAGUGUGUGAUUUUUUAACAUUUUAAUUUUCAAGCAAGAUAUGGACAUAUAGUUAUGUGAAAUUGUGAAAUAUUACCAGACAUAACUUUGAAAUUCAAAAGGGGUACUUUUUACGGAGGGGAAAAUAAUAAAGAACGUGUAACAGUAAUAUUGUCGGAGCCAAUAAUGUGACAGGAAUCGAAAAAGUAUAAAACUUCUCGUGAUUAGAAAAUCGAAACGACUAAUAGACAUUUCAAGAAAAAAAUAUACGAAAUCGUUACCAGUCACAUAAUAUUAUUGUAUACAGGGACGUCAUUAGGAUUGGAAUCAUGGGGUACCAGGUAUCAUAAUACUUUUAAUUCGAUUGCACGUGGUCUAAUGAACCCUGGGAGCAGUCGGUGAAUAAUAUUAUAAAAUUGGCUUGGUAACGAUACCUUGUUACCGUAAUUGUGGGUGAAUAGAAACAAAAUUUCGAAAUAAGUUUCAUUGACCAAUAACUACGGUCUAAGCAUAACUAUUUUUAAAAAUUGUUGAUGUAUUACAUUGGUUAUGUUAUGAAGAAUCGAAUUCAAUUGAUACAUUUUUACCUCCAUAAUAAUUAUCGAUAAGAAAAUUGAUAAGAGUAAAAAUUAUUUUACCUCCAAAAAAUGUGUAUCAACUUUAUUAUCAUGGUUCUCAUGAACAAAUUGUGAUAACUCCAAAUUUUUUUUCACUUUUCGGCGUUGUUGUGGGGAAUUAAUUAACAAACAUGCCAAAAGUAUAUAAGCCAGAUCCGCGCGGCAAAUAUGUUUAAAAUGUUGUUUUUCAUAAAAUAAAGGCUAUAAGAAUCCGUUCCUUUUGGAACUCGUUCCUUCAAACACUGGGUUAGGUUAGAUUAUUAUACGGCAUAGUGUAUCUGCAAAUCAAGUCUCACAAGAGAUGGAAUGAAAACCAAUCGAAGAAGAAAAUCCGAUAGACUGAAAUCGAUACCAACAGAAUUUUGCUGGGACUCGCGGAGUGGGAUUUGUCGAGGUGGACUCUGAUGUUUUAACAACGUACUAUCCUACCGACGACGAGAGCUGAUGAAACCCUCAACGAUUGAACGUUCCAAGGAGAGACUAACGAGUCAAGUGGUGAGGAUGAGUCGGAUAGUGAUGGCGAUAAUGUGGAAUCGCCUUUAAUUACACUUGUCCAGGCAUUAGAUCUACAGAAAUUCUUCAAAUAUAUACGAGAACAACCAGAUAUUCCAGACGAGAUGUUUUCUGGGAUUACUAUCCGAGUUGAUUCUCAAUUAUAUAAUUGGUUCUCUAUAAAGGUAACAUACGAAUUGGUUCCGAAUUUCCGAUGAACAUUCAUAACAAUAAUACAACUAUGUUAAAUUAACUUUUCAAAUUAUUAUGAUAUAUUUAACCAACCACAUAAUUUCCUUUUCGUUAUACCUAUACACGUAUUUGUCAACGUUAUUAAUAAUUAAAUAGGUAUAUAGUAAUAUUUUUACUAAAAAAUACCAAUUUAUUAGAUAUAUUAUUAUUACACUAGUUCCCAGACAUCAUAAAACCUAUUAAAAUUUCAUAAGAUUACCGAUUUGUACUUGGGUAGAAAUUCAAAAAGUUGUACCCAAAAUGAUAGAGUAACCUGGGGUAUAAUGGCGCAUGGGGCAAAAUGAACUAUUGUAUAUAAGUAAUUUAAUAAUUGCUAUCUGGUCAAACAUUUUUAUUAUUGUGAUUAUGUUAUCAAAGCCAAUGCGAUAAAAUAUUUUUUUCAGCAGUUGAUGAAGUUUUGGCGGCAAUAUUAGGCAAAGUAUUAAUUGUAUUCAUCUGAUAUACCUAAUAUUUCAAUAUUUGAGUAGUAUAGAAGUAGUAAUUUGUACUAUAUAACGACACGUUAGGUGUUGCUUUUAUAUAUAUUCGUUUAGUACAAGUAGGUGACUAAACGUCAAUACUAGUAAAAUAUUAAUAUGAUAACAACUGAAUAUACUACAACACUGUUUAUGCAGAAAAUCAUAUUGGGGUAAAAUGGCUUAGUGGGUUUUGGGGUAAAAGUGCGCAGUAUUUCUUACAUAAUUAUUGAUUACCUUAUAAACAUCUAAUUUCUCUGGCUUUAAAUUGAAUGUCUAAAAAUUUAAUUAUAUCUAUUUAAUUAUUAAUUU